AUGCAUCCCUUCUGGAAGCUCAAACUGUUUAUUUUAAGCUUCACUUACAUGAACCUCUUUUAUGACCUUUUCCUGCAGAGAAUGAUUACAUUUUAAAACUGCACUGAUUUCCAUGUUUCCAACUUCUGCUGUGAACUCACUUCAAAUUUUUGUCUGUUGUUGGACCAGUGGGAAUUGGCAGAAGGAAAUUUUCUCUGAGCUCCCUAAUAUGGGGCAUUUUCAUGAACUUCAAAGACGUGUCUGUGUUGCACAGAACAGGAAGAUGUUCAACACUAUCGUGGCACGGCUUGCCAUGUUUUGCUCUGAAUACAACACCUGGGGUAUAUCAUCUGAGGGCUACUCUGGUUAUGUGCUUUUUAGGACUGCCUUUAAUUGCUUUUGCGUUGAGCUGUAUUCAUGAAUGUGUAUUCAUCAAAGAAUGAAGAGCAAUGUGACAUUUUUAAGUUUUACUAAGUCAACUAGCAUCCGUUGCCAUAGAAUUCAGAAAUGAGGAAACCAGGAAAAGGCAGAGCUGUUUUUCAUUAUGUGUUGAAAGAUGUCAGCAGGAUUAAAGUGUCAGAGCAAAAAGAAAAAGAAAAAAAGAUGAAGAGAAAGUGGAUUACUUUCAAAUGGUUAUUAAUGCACAUGAAAAGCAAAUGUAAGAGCCAAAUGUUUGGAAAAGGACACAAUAUUAAAAAGAUGCAUUUAAGAUAGGGAUAACUUUAUUCUUCCUAAAAAAUGCACACAAAAUGUCUGAAUCUGCCCUUACCUAACUGAAAAUAAAAUGAAAAGUAAGUUCCAUGUCUCCUAAUUUCUCUCCUGCAGGAGGGAAUGAAUCAGGCUGCUUUUCUGCCUUGGAUGGAAAGAAAAUGUCUGAGAAUAGUUCUGUGCCCUUAAUAUAUCCUUGAGUGAAUUAAUAUUCAAGUAUGUGCUUGAUGGGUCUGGAAUUUUGUAAAUAU